rnacentral:misc_RNA from 1 species
GAUGAAGAACGUAGCGAAAUGCGAUACUUGGUGUGAAUUGCAGAAUCCCGUGAACCAUCGAGUCUUUGAACGCAAGUUGCGCCCGAAGCCAUUAGGCCGAGGGCACGCCUGCCUGGGCGUCACACGUCGUUGCCCCCCCAUCUACUCCUUCGGGAUUGCGGGGGGCGGAUGAUGGCCUCUCGUGCGCCUCGUCGCGCGGUUGGCCUAAAUGCCAAGUCCUCGGCGACGCACGCCACGACAAUCGGUGGUUGCGAAACCUCGGUUGCCUGUCGUGUGCGGUCGUCGCGCAUCGAGGGCUCGAGAAAAUUGCCGGGCUUCGGCUCGACUUUCAACGCGACCCCAGGUCAGGCGGGGUUACCCGCUGAAUUUAAGCAUAUCAAUAAGCGGAGGA